rnacentral:rRNA from 1 species
AUUGAACGCUGGCGGCAGGCCUAACACAUGCAAGUCGAGCGGUAGCACAAGAGAGCUUGCUCUCUGGGUGACGAGCGGCGGACGGGUGAGUAAUGUCUGGGAAACUGCCUGAUGGAGGGGGAUAACUACUGGAAACGGUAGCUAAUACCGCAUGACGUCUUCGGACCAAAGUGGGGGACCUUCGGGCCUCACGCCAUCAGAUGUGCCCAGAUGGGAUUAGCUAGUAGGUGGGGUAAUGGCUCACCUAGGCGACGAUCUCUAGCUGGUCUGAGAGGAUGACCAGCCACACUGGAACUGAGACACGGUCCAGACUCCUACGGGAGGCAGCAGUGGGGAAUAUUGCACAAUGGGCGCAAGCCUGAUGCAGCCAUGCCGCGUGUAUGAAGAAGGCCUUCGGGUUGUAAAGUACUUUCAGCGAGGAGGAAGGCAUUGUGGUUAAUAACCACAGUGAU